GUCUAAGUUAUUCAAUAGGAUUUUUUUUACUGUCUUUCUAGGUCGACACCAUGAAAUGUGAGACAAGCAGAAGCUUGAAGAAAAUUGGUGACAGCAGCUGGUGCUUCUGUGACACCCACCUGCAACAGCUUCUGAACUUCUCUCAAGUGUCAGUUGGACUGUGCAGAAGGGCUGUCAACAAGCUUCAGUUGUGCACAGAGGAAAAUGGCAAGGAUAAGACGGCGGGCGUUCCAAGGAGUGUUGUCUCACAUUAGAUGAAGGCAAAAUCAUGGGAUGGUCUGUCGCUACCUCAUGCAGGAAACCAUGGAAAGAGAGAGCCUAUUGAAAUGCUAUAAUGUUGUACAGUCACAGUUCUAAGGGAAAGAGAAAUGCUGUGGUCUAAAAAUGAAAUAAAUCACUGAGCUUCAGAGACAGCCUUAUCCAUUGGAAAUAGCCACAAAUGAAGGAGAAGACAAAAGGACAUCUGAGACCUUGAAAGUGCAGAGAUUAGCCAUGUUGUUUGGAUUUAUCGGCUUCAGGAGGAAGGACCCAUUUCAUUAGUGGAAAUUUUACUUUACUAAAGCAUAGACAACUUGGCCAAGUUUCUGCUGGGCACAUUACCUUCUUUUAUAAAAUAUGGGCCAGCCAGGUUCUUGUUGAAGUUGCUGGGAUUUUUGGCAUUGAUUUCAAGAUAAAUGAAUAGCCAGUGGGUCCCCUGCAGAGAAGAGUAGGGAAAAGGCAUACCGUCUCCUGCCCAAAGCACAGUUCGGAUCAAGUGCCCUGAGCUUCAGGGGCGUAUUUCCUGAUGCAAUGCUCGUGCUUUAGACGUUUCUGUUCAGAAUAACCACCUUCUGCUAUAGUCAAUUUUACAACUACAUUUGUAUUUUAGAGAGGAAAUCCAAUACUAACCAUGGAAUCCUGUCAAGAAUUCAGUAAAUCAAGUGACUUUUUAUGGCAUUUUACAAGAAAGAAAACUAUUCAGGUAAACUGACAAGUCCAAAUAGGAAUAGGAGACUCCAACUAAGGUGUACGUUAUGAAUCACAGCCUACUACCCCUGCUGGGACUGAGGGAGAAUCUACAAUCCAAAAUGAAUUCAAACCAGUUCGCAGGGAUUCUUAAAGUUUUGCUAAAAAGGGAUGCCAAAAUGCUGACAGCUUUAUUAGAGCAUAUAACUCAAAAUAAGAACAAAUGCAUUUUAAGACUUCAAGAGUACCUUUCAGUAUGAAUCUAAUUGGCUUUAAGAUACUGUUGAACUUCCUAAAUAGUACUACAUCUUCCUAAAAUGUCACAGGUGUUUACAUUUUCAUCAGAAUGAGGUAUUUUGCCAGCUGGCCUAAAAGUUGCCUCUUCAAUAAGUAUUCCAGCAAUACAUGCUGAGUUUCAGCAGCUUUGUGUCCACUUGGGAUGGCUAUGAGCCUUGGUACUACAGUGGUCAGGACCUUCUAAGAAUCUACAGAGUUACGAUAACUUUAUGUUGUGAGACCUUUAUAUAAAACAAAUACAGCUAAAAUAUUACAUUUCUUUGCUUCUCUUUAUGUACCAGGUUCUUUCGGUGAACACUGUGAAAUUUUGCCUAAACUUUCUUUUCAUAGUGCAUGUGCACAUACAUAUAUGUAUAACAAAAUCAUUUGAUCUUUUACUGUAAGUCUCAAAUAUUUGCUAGAGCACUAUGAAGCAUUUUGGUGACCAUGCAAGGGGUGCACAGUCGGUGCUUGUAUGGACCCUUCUAGACUAAAUGCUCACUGCCCAUCUAUAUGCAGCUAAGGGAUAGCGAGGAGGGACUGGACUUAAUGUUCUACAUAACCCUGCUUAGGUCCAUUUUUCUUUUGUGUUUUACUUGCAAAAAAAAAAUAAUAAUUUUUUAAUGGGUUUCAAGCACCGUUCAUAGAUGUCCCAUCUUAUCUGUCACCUAAAUGUCAUUAUAGGGUUACAUAACAGAUCAAUUUGUUUAAAUCAAACAGGAUAAUUAUUUUAAAGUAUAAAAUGAUAUGAAAGAUGCUUUAUCAUUACAACGAAUGUGACAAGUUCGUAUGUUUCUUACGUCACCACAUGAAGAAAGAUUAUCUGCUGUCCCAA